rnacentral:siRNA from 1 species
AUCAAACGCUUCCACGGUCUCUC